GCCCCCAUCGUCUAGAGGCCCAGGACGCCACCCUUUCAAGGUGGAGAUCAGGGGUUCGAAUCCCCUUGGGGGCACCA
rnacentral:tRNA from 2 species